GAGGGUCUCUGGCUGCGAGGGCCUUGGGAAGAACACUCACUCCCGGCCAUACUUGCGUGUGAGUUCUGACCCCUGGAGGAGCCACUGUGGAAUCAGAGCAAUCGCCAUGGAGUUUGUGAUGAAGCAGGCCCUAGGAGGUAGGAAGCGGGAGGUGGGGUGGGGAGGGGCUGAGGGGACAUGGAGAGACCACCACAGCAGCUGCUCCUCAUCUGGCCCACCGCAGCAGCGCCCCUGCAGCCACACGGCCACCCACGCAGCCCUACACAGGAGCCUGGGGCAGAGGAGCAAGGACCGUGCCCAGCAGCGCCCCCAGCCCGGCCCUUUUCGAGGCCCCGAGCCAGAACUGGUGUCCCUGGCGGGA
rnacentral:lncRNA from 1 species